rnacentral:rRNA from 1 species
CGUAGGGACCAAGCGUUUGUUCGGAUUUACUGGGCGUAAAGGGCGCGUAGGCGGCGUGUUAAGUCACUUGUGAAAUCUCUAAGCUUAACUUAGAACGGUCAAGUGAUACUGAUGUGCUAGAGUGCAGAAGGGGCAACCGGAAUUCUUGGUGUAGCGGUGAAAUGCGUAGAUAUCAAGAGGAACACCUGAGGUGAAGACGGGUUGCUGGGCUGACACUGACGCUGAUGCGCGAAAGCUAGGGUAGCAAACGGGAUUAGAUACCCCGGUAGUCCUAGCCCUAAACGAUGAAUACUUGGUGUCUGGAGUUCUUUUCGUCUGGGUGCCGUCGCUAACGUUUUAAGUAUUCCGCCUGGGGAGUACGCACGCAAGUGUG